rnacentral:rRNA from 1 species
GGCGAGCGAAGCGGGAAGAGCUCAAAUUUGAAAUCUGGUGGCCUCAGGUCAUCCGAGUUGUAAUCUAUAGAAGUGUUUUCCGUGCUGGCCCAUGUACAAGUCCCUUGGAACAGGGCGUCAUAGAGGGUGAGAAUCCCGUCCUUGACAUGGACUACCAGUGCUCUGUGAUACACUUUCAACGAGUCGAGUUGUUUGGGAAUGCAGCUCAAAAUGGGUGGUAAAUUCCAUCUAAAGCUAAAUAUUGGCGAGAGACCGAUAGCGAACAAGUACCGUGAGGGAAAGAUGAAAAGCACUUUGGAAAGAGAGUUAAACAGUAUGUGAAAUUGUUGAAAGGGAAACGAUUGAAGUCAGUCGUGCUCAAUGGACUCAGCCGUUCUGCGGUGUAUUUCCAUUGGGUGGGGUCAACAUCAGUUUUGAUCGCUGGAUAAAGGCAGGAGGAAUGUAGCACCCCCGGGUGAACUUAUAGCCUCUUGUCACAUACAGUGGUUGGGACUGAGGAACGCAGCAUGCCUUUAUGGCCGGGAUUCGUCCACGUACAUGCUUAGGAUGUUGACAUAAUGGCUUUAAACGACCCGUC